AAGCACAAUGAAAAGGAAAGUCAGAAAGAAGAAAAAGAAGGGAACCAUUACAGCAAAUGUUGCCGGGACAAAGUUUGAAAUUGUUCGUUUAGUAAUAGAUGAAAUGGGAUUUAUGAAAACUCCAGAUGAGGAUGAAACAAGUAAUCUUAUAUGGUGUGAUUCUGCUGUUCAGCAGGAGAAAAUUUCAGAGCUGCAAAAUUAUCAGGUAGGAAAUUAAUCAUGACCAGUUAGUGGUAUGAGGAAAGUUAUAUGGAUUCCACAUAACUUUUUUAGAUAGGUUCUUAAUAUGUUGCCUUAUUACAUUUCAGCUCUUACUCACCUGAAUAGCCUGUUUUGUUGCUAUCCAGUUGUAUUGGCUCUUUGCAUGAAGCCUGCAUCUUUUGCAGACUUAAGUUUUAACCUCUUUCUAUCUUUAGGGAAGAAUCAAUAGAAAAAACCUCUUCUGGUUGGGCGUGGUGGCUGACACCUGUAAUCCCAGCAUUUUGGGAGGCCAAGGCGGGUGGAUCACGAGGUCAAGAGAUUGAGACCUUCCCUGGCCAACAUAGUGAAACCCCAUCUCUACUAAAAAUACAAAAAUUAGCUGGGUAUGGUGGCACACGCCUGUAGUCCCAGCUACUCAGGAGGCUGAGGCAGGAGAAUUGCUUAAACCCGGGAGGUGGAGGCUACAGUGAGCUGAGAUUGGGCCACUGCACUACAGCUUGGUGACAGCGAGACUCCAUCUCAAAAAACAAACAACAACCACCAAAAAAAAAAACAA
rnacentral:lncRNA from 1 species